rnacentral:rRNA from 1 species
GACGAACGCUGGCGGCGUGCUUAACACAUGCAAGUCGAACGGAAAGGCCCUGCUUUUGUGGGGUGCUCGAGUGGCGAACGGGUGAGUAACACGUGAGUAACCUGCCCUUGACUUUGGGAUAACUUCAGGAAACUGGGGCUAAUACCGGAUAGGAGCUCCUGCUGCAUGGUGGGGGUUGGAAAGUUUCGGCGGUUGGGUAUGGACUCGCGGCUUAUCAGCUUGUUGGGGGGGUAGUGGCUUACCAAGGCUUUGACGGGUAGCCGGCCUGAGAGGGUGACCGGCCACAUUGGGACUGAGAUACGGCCCAGACUCCUACGGGAGGCAGCAGUGGGGAAUAUUGCACAAUGGGCGGAAGCCUGAUGCAGCAACGCCGCGUGCGGGAUGACGGCCUUCGGGUUGUAAACCGCUUUCGCCUGUGACGAAGCGUGAGUGACGGUAAUGGGUAAAGAAGCACCGGCUAACUACGUG